AUUGAACGCUGGCGGCAGGCCUAACACAUGCAAGUCGAACGGUAACAGGAAGCAGCUUGCUGCUUUGCUGACGAGUGGCGGACGGGUGAGUAAUGUCUGGGAAACUGCCUGAUGGAGGGGGAUAACUACUGGAAACGGUAGCUAAUACCGCAUAACGUCGCAAGACCAAAGAGGGGGACCUUCGGGCCUCUUGCCAUCGGAUGUGCCCAGAUGGGAUUAGCUAGUAGGUGGGGUAACGGCUCACCUAGGCGACGAUCCCUAGCUGGUCUGAGAGGAUGACCAGCCACACUGGAACUGAGACACGGUCCAGACUCCUACGGGAGGCAGCAGUGGGGAAUAUUGCACAAUGGGCGCAAGCCUGAUGCAGCCAUGCCGCGUGUAUGAAGAAGGCCUUUCGGGUUGUAAAGUACUUUGCAGCGGGGAGGAAGGCGAUAAGGUUUAACCUUGUCGAGACGUUACCCGCGG
rnacentral:rRNA from 1 species